UACAGAGGGUGCGAGCGUUAAUCGGAAUUACUGGGCGUAAAGCGUGCGUAGACGGUUAUUUAAGUCGGGUGUGAAAGCCCCGGGCUCAACCUGGGAAUUGCAUUCGAGACUGAAUAGCUAGGGUACGGUAGAGGGAAGUGGAAUUUCCGGUGUAGCGGUGAAAUGCGUAGAUAUCUGGAGGAACACCGGUGGCGAAGGCGGCAUCCUGGACCGGCAUUGACGCUGAGGCGCGAAAGCCAGGGGAGCAAACGGG
rnacentral:rRNA from 1 species